rnacentral:rRNA from 1 species
UUCCGAUGGGGUGACCUGCGGAAGGAUCAUUACCGAGUGCGGGUCCUUUGGGCCCAACCUCCCAUCCGUGUCUAUUGUACCCUGUUGCUUCGGCGGGCCCGCCGCUUGUCGGCCGCCGGGGGGGCGCCUCUGCCCCCCGGGCCCGUGCCCGCCGGAGACCCCAACACGAACACUGUCUGAAAGCGUGCAGUCUGAGUUGAUUGAAUGCAAUCAGUUAAAACUUUCAACAAUGGAUCUCUUGGUUCCGGCAUCGAUGAAGAACGCAGCGAAAUGCGAUAACUAAUGUGAAUUGCAGAAUUCAGUGAAUCAUCGAGUCUUUGAACGCACAUUGCGCCCCCUGGUAUUCCGGGGGGCAUGCCUGUCCGAGCGUCAUUGCUGCCCUCAAGCCCGGCUUGUGUGUUGGGUCGCCGUCCCCCUCUCCGGGGGGACGGGCCCGAAAGGCAGCGGCGGCACCGCGUCCGAUCCUCGAGCGUAUGGGGCUUUGUCACAUGCUCUGUAGGAUUGGCCGGCGCCUGCCGACGUUUUCCAACCAUUCUUCCAGGUGACCU